rnacentral:rRNA from 1 species
GACAGAGGAUGCAAGCGUUAUCCGGAAUUAUUGGGCGUAAAGCGUCUGUAGGUGGCUUUUCAAGUCCGCCGUCAAAUCCCAGGGCUCAACCCUGGACAGGCGGUGGAAACUACCAAGCUGGAGUACGGUAGGGGCAGAGGGAAUUUCCGGUGGAGCGGUGAAAUGCAUUGAGAUCGGAAAGAACACCAGCGGCGAAGGCGGCACUCUGGGCUGGAACUGACGCUGAGGAGCGAAAGCGUGGGUAGCAAACAGG